UACGUAGGGUGCGAGCGUUGUCCGGAUUUAUUGGGCGUAAAGGGUGCGUAGGUGGUCGGGUAAGUCUGAUGUGAAAUCUCUGGGCUCAACCCAGAAAUGGCAUUGGAUACUAUUCGGCUAGAGGAGUGGAGGGGGGACUGGAAUACUUGGUGUAGCAGUGAAAUGCGUAGAUAUCAAGUGGAACACCAGUGGCGAAGGCGAGUCCCUGGACACUUCCUGACACUGAGGCACGAAAGCUAGGGGAGCAAACAGG
rnacentral:rRNA from 1 species